GGUGACUUGUGAUCUAGAAUUGGGUUUCAUUAAUAUAUGUUGAAUAUUGGUCCAAGUCCCUAGCUCAAGGUUGAAGUGCUCAAACCAAAGAGACAAAGUUGGAUGCAGCUCUCAAGUGGAAAUAUUGAUCAAGUAUGGCAUGUUUCAUGAUGAUGAAGCUCAAGAGGAUGAAUAUUGUAUUUAUGUGUUGAUCUUGAGUGUAGGCAUGCCGUACUAUCAAGAGGGAUGAAUCACAUGGUCAUUUGAUAAAGUCUCAGUGCUCAAGUUUUCUAUUUGAGUUGAUGAGAGACACAAAAGCCACACGUACACACUCUGUCGAGUCAGGCAGUGGCAAAAUUGGAAGCUCCGGUUUUGGAAACAGGAAGUUCCAAUUUUGGGUGCCACGUAUCUCUAACGGCUAGUUGUUUUGAAAAAGUGGAGGUUCCGAUUUUAGGAAACCGGUAGUUCCAGUUUUGGUCUG
rnacentral:lncRNA from 1 species